AUUGAACGCUGGCGGCAGGCUUAACACAUGCAAGUCGAGCGGGGGAAGGUAGCUUGCUACUGGACCUAGCGGCGGACGGGUGAGUAAUGCUUAGGAAUCUGCCUAUUAGUGGGGGACAACAUCUCGACAGGGAUGCUAAUACCGCAUACGUCCUACGGGCGAAAGCAGGGGAUCUUCGGACCUUGCGCUAAUAGAUGAGCCUAAGUCGGAUUAGCUAGUUGGUGGGGUAAAGGCCUACCAAGGCGACGAUCUGUAGCGGGUCUGAGAGGAUGAUCCGCCACACUGGGACUGAGACACGGCCCAGACUCCUACGGGAGGCAGCAGUGGGGAAUAUUGGACAAUGGGGGGAACCCUGAUCCAGCCAUGCCGCGUGUGUGAAGAAGGCCUUAUGGUUGUAAAGCACUUUAAGCGAGGAGGAGGCUACUUUAGUUAAUACCUAGAGAUAGUGGACGUUACUCGCAGAAUAAGCACCGGCUAACUCUGUGCCAGCCGCCGCCGUAA
rnacentral:rRNA from 1 species